rnacentral:lncRNA from 1 species
GCUCUUCCACUGUAGGCAACUCGCUUAAAGUGCCCGAUCUUAUUGCACUUGUAGCACCGAGCCUCUUUCUUACUACUGCUCUUCCAGGACUUUGAUCAUCCCCUUGACUUGCCUCUUUUUUUUCUCUUCUUGAUCUCUUCCCCAAGGCUAUGCCCUCCUGGGGAGCUCCAUCCUUGGUCAUCUUUUCCCACUGUUCAUUGGAGCGCAGUACCGAGACCA